CUAGAACCCUCCUCUUCUUUCAUAAACCUAUUUUCUUCAUUUCAUACUUCGAACUACAACUCAUCUUUCAGUUAUAUUCAUCUUCUAGCUAGGUAUCUCAAUUUCAGGUAAGCUUUCCCCUUAAUUUUUGCUUUAAUCUUCUCCGGCUUUUGCUUGUCUGAAUCACUUAUUUGCCCUUGAACAAUUUAUUGUGCUUCUCAAUGAAAUGUCUUAUGUGUGAAUUCAAAUGCAAUCAAAAGCCACAUACUGCUCUACCAUCGUUCUACCCUUUCGAUAGAGAUUGAGUGUACUUCGGAGCUUGCGGAUGUAUCGAAGCCAUCUCUUCUUUUGUUUAAUCUCAGAAGAUCUCAUUCAUUGAGAUCGAGCCCGAUAAAUGAUCCAGGUAUUCGAUCGGUAGCAGCUGUGCGGAUCGUCGCGAUGGAGACUCAAGGCAAACCUGCUGCUGCGUUCGCAGGCCUCGGAGUCACCUUCAUUUGUACUUAUUUUCAUUUGUUCCUUUCAUCCUGGAACAGUGGUGUAUUUAUUAUGUAUAACUACUCUUAGAAAGGCUUAUGACUUGUACCAUCCGUUUUGGAAAUUGUAAUUGAUCAGAGGUAUAUAAUUUGAAGUUAGUGAA